CUAGGAUUAAAAAAUAGUGGAGAAAUAAGUGUUUUGUUUGGAAAUUUAUUUGAUUAUUC
rnacentral:tRNA from 1 species